GCCCAGACUCCUACGGGAGGCAGCAGUGAGGAAUAUUGGUCAAUGGGCUUACGCCUGAACCAGCCAAGUCGCGUGAGGGAAGACUGCCCUAUGGGUUGUAAACCUCUUUUGUCAGGGAGCAACGCCGGCUACGUGUAGCCGGACUGAGAGUACCUGAAGAAAAAGCAUCGGCUAACUCCGUGCCAGCAGCCGCGGUAAUACGGAGGAUGCGAGCGUUAUCCGGAUUUAUUGGGUUUAAAGGGUGCGUAGGCGGAAUGCCAAGUCAGCGGUAAAAUCGCGGGGCUCAACCCUGGGACUGCUCUGGAAACUGCAAAGCUGGAGUGCGGGAGGGGCAGGCGGAAUUCCUGGUGUAGCGGUGAAAUGCGUAGAUAUCAGGAGGAACACCGGCGGCGAAGGCGGCCUGCUGGACCGUAACUGACGUUGAGGCUCGAAAGCGUGGGGAGCAAACAGGAUUAGAUACCCGAGUA
rnacentral:rRNA from 1 species